GAUGAAGAACGUAGCGAAAUGCGAUAAGUAAUGUGAAUUGCAGAAUUCAGUGAAUCAUCGAAUCUUUGAACGCACCUUGCGCCCUUUGGACAUUCCGAAGGGCAUGCCUGUUUGAGUAUCAUGAACACCUCAACUCUCACGGCUUGUCCGUGAUGAGCUUGGACUUUGGGGGUCUUGCCGGCCUGUGGUCGGCUCCUCUCAAAUGGAUCAGCUUGCCAGUGUUUGGUGGCAUCACAGGUGUGAUAACUAUCUGCGCUUGUGGUUUUCCAUCAGAUAACCUUCAGUCAUAUGGAGGUUCGCUGGAGCUCACAAAUGUCUCUCCUUAGUGAGGACAGCUCUUUGAACGUUUGAUCUCAAAUCAGGUAGGACUACCCGCUGAACUUAAGCAUAUCAAUAAGCGGAGGA
rnacentral:misc_RNA from 1 species